GACAGAGGGUGCAAACGUUGUUCGGAAUUACUGGGCGUAAAGCGCGUGUAGGCAGCUCGGAAAGUCGGAUGUGAAAGCCCUGGGCUCAACCUAGGAAGUGCAUUCGAAACUUCCGAGCUGGAGUGCUGGAGAGGAAGGCGGAAUUCUCGGUGUAGAGGUGAAAUGCGUAGAUAUCUGGAGGAACACCGGUGGCGAAGGCGGUACUCUGGGCCGGAACUGACGCUGAGGAGCGAAAGCGUGGGUAGCGAACAGG
rnacentral:rRNA from 1 species